GUAAAAGAUUAAGCCAUGCAUGCUUUGAUUCAUAAAUGAAAUUGCGUACGGCUCAUUAGAGCAGAUAUCACCUUUCUCGGAAUCCUGAAAAGGAUAACUGCGGAAAUUCUGGAGCUAAUACAUGCGACUAUACUCCAACGCAAGGCGGGGUGCAAUUAUUAGAACAGACCAAACGUUUUCGGACGUUGUUUGUUGACUCUGAAUACCGUCGUUUACUGUCAGUUUCGACUGACUCUAUCCGAGAAGGGUGUCUGCCCUUUCAACUAGAUGGUAAUCUAUUGGACUACCAUGGUUGUUACGGGUAACGGAGAAUUAGGGUUCGACUCCGGAGAGGGAGCCUUAGAAACGGCUACCACGUCCAAGGAAGGCAGCAGGCGCGAAACUUAUCCACUGUUGAGUAUGAGAUAGUGACUAAAAAUAUAAAGACUCAUCCUUUUGGAUGAGUUAUUUCAAUGAGUUGAAUAUAAAUUAUUCUUCGAGUAGCAAGGAGAGGGCAAGUCUGGUGCCAGCAGCCGCGGUAAUUCCAGCUCUCCUAGUGUAUCUCGUUAUUGCUGCGGUUAAAAAGCUCGUAGUUGGAUCUAGGUUACGUGCCGCAGUUCGCAAUUUGCGUUAACUGUGGUCGUGACUUCUAAUUUGCUGGUUUGAGGUUGGGUUCGCCCUUCAACUGCCAGCAGGUUUACCUUGAAUAAAUCAGAGUGCUCAAUACAGGCGCUUGCUUGAAUAGCUCAUCAUGGAAUAAUGAAACAGGACUUCGGUUCUUUUUGUUGGUUCUAGAAUUGAUCUAAUGGAUUAAGAGGGACAAACCGGGGGCAUUCGUAUCAUUACGCGAGAGGUGAAAUUCGUGGACCGUAGUGAGACGCCCAAUAGCGAAAGCAUUUGCCAAGAAUGUCUUCAUUAAUCAAGAACGAAAGUCAGAGGUUCGAAGGCGAUUAGAUACCGCCCUAGUUCUGACCGUAAACGAUGCCAUCUCGCGAUUCGGAGGGUUCAUGCCCUACCGAGGAGCUACCCGGAAACGAAAGUCUUUCGGUUCCGGGGGUAGUAU
rnacentral:ncRNA from 1 species